UUUUCUAUUCCUAGUAAUAUUAUGUAAACUGCAAUUUUACUUUCAUCUACUUGUAAUUCGAUUGAUCAUAAAUACAGAAAUUUUUUUUGGAGAGACACUGAACAAUAAAAAAAGAUUCAUCUGUUAAGUUGAAAGAAAAUUAGCAAGCCUAAAGGUUUAGGAGAUCUUAGUAUCCGGCACGCAAAAAACCUUAAUCAUGCCUUUAUGAUGAAGGUUGGAUGGAGGAUGGUGGAAAAAAAAAAGACAAUCUUUGGACUAGAGUGCUAUGCUCAAAAUAUAAGUAUGAAAAUGAUAUCCUUCCCAAUCACUACAACACACACGAAAAAUUGCGGCCGAAAAUUACCAACCAUUUCUUGAACCGCUGUGAAUUGGUGGGAUACCAGCGGUUCUCUUAGCAUUUUUAAGCUCAGUUAUAAAUCGGUCAAAAUAGCGCCUAUUUGGUAUUCCAACAGCAACAAAAAUCGAUCUGAAUAAAAAAACCUUCGCCUUCAACAUUCGGGAGCCAGUCUUCUUGUUUCGUGCAAACCCAAAGGGAGCAAAGGCGCGAAUCUCACUCAACAAUCCUUGCCGGCAUGUAGCUCCCCUUCAACUGCUACGUCCUUCCCCAUCACCGAUCUGCUUUUCUGCCGUUUAGCUCCCGCGUGCGAAAGAAAACUGGAAGGGUGCGAAACCAUCGUUCUUCCCUCCGCCGUGCUCAUCCGUGUCAUCGUGGAGUCGCGUGGCUGCCCAUCCGUCUUGGUGUUGUGGUCGUUGUCCUCGUCGUCCUUCCCCCUUGCCCUAUUGUGUGCUACUCGAUCACCAUCUCCCUUCUCACUGUUGAAAACCUCGAAGAAAAAGAAAAAUUAAAAAAGAGAUAAAAUGAUAUUCAGAUCAAAGCGGAAGCAACAAAAAUGGAGAAGAUCUGUGUUGCCAUUCGUCUUCGCCCUCCAGUUUUUGAAGACUCCUCUAAUGGAGAUUCUAAAAGGUCGAAAAGAAUCGUGUUUUGCUUCACAGGAUUCAUGACACACCACUCUCUAACUCUUUUUAUGCUUUUGAUCAUGUGUUCGAUGAAACUAGCACCAAUUGGUUCUACGAGCUGCUCACCAAGGAUAUAAUUCAUGCUGUGCUCGAUGGCUUCAAUGGCAUGUUUCUAAUAUAUGAACAAAUAUGAAGAAAGAAUUGAGGCUGAGAAAAAUCUGUUCUGCAGGUAAAAGAAGAGACACAGCAACUUGCUCGAAUUUUUGAAACAUUUGGGACUUUCAAGGUGAAGUGGAAAGGUGGUAAAGGAAAACUAAUUUUUGGAAGGUGAGGCUUAUUCUGUGCAAUUUUGAGCUAUUGAUUUAUUCUCUAUAUGGAUUAUGCUUCUAUAUUUAGUACUAAUAAGAAAUCAAAGAAAAGGCAUGACAUAGAACAAUAAAACAAUAGAAAAGCAUUAUGUCGCUAGUACAUAUUAGUAAGAGUUGCCCUGUUUUGCCACCAUGAUUGCUUAAAUUAAUAUGUGAUAAAUUAAAGACACGCAUUAUAUAUUAAUUAUUGCUCCUUUGUAUAUAUGAUUUGAUGUGGUAGAUAUCAGAUAAUGCAUCAUAUUCAAUUGCUUUGAUGCAGUAGAUAUCAAAUUUCACUAUUUUAUUAUAUCGAAGAGUGGAUUUGGAGUUAGAUUAAUUAGCUAAUUCAUUCAGCAAGUGGAUUGGUUAUGAAAUAAAAUUUGUAAUUGCUAGUCAAAUUUCUAUUGGUCAAACUCAUUUUGUAAGUAGUCUAACAUUUGGCAAUGUUACUUGAGAUAUAUAUGUUGUGAUUAAUGUUGUGUCUUUUGAGAUUGACUUAAGAAAAGGCACAUGUAAUUGUUAAAUUACUAAGCGGAUGAAUAUGGGUGAGGGGAGGAGUGAGGAACGCAAUUUGCCAAUCGAUUUCUUUUAAUACUUUCAAAUGACUAAUAAAUUGAGACUCUGUUGUUUGUGUUCUCCAGGUUCUAUGCAUUUUUCAUUAUUGAUAAAUGAUAGUUACUAUUUCUGAAUGGGAGGUACGAUCUUGUUAUGUUUCUAUUUAUGUUGCUUUUUGCUACUGUCUUUAACAUAUUGUCCAAUCUGUUAUGGGUGGAAGAAGAAUAAAGCUCAGUUCUUUUGCAUUUUUAUUUUGUUCUUUUUUUCCAACUCGAUUUCUAGCAUAUGAAAUUAGAAGUCUAAUGUUUCAAUAUCGAGAAGGCCCCUUGUGACCACCUGCAUCCUGAAUAUGCGUACGAGGAGACUGGUGUUUUUCUCUUGCGGAAGGAGAAGAAGAAGCAUUGAUUUCGGGAAGCUUUCUAAAUGAAUUUUUAGAAUUGCUUGAACUUAUUCACUCCUAUGUCCUCCAAAUCGAAUUUACUAGUUGAGUUUUACAAUUCAAGUUUUGUAUACAUUAGAAACUCAUUGCAGAUAGAUUAUUUUUAACAGGGUAACAAAGUUGUGUUCAUGCUCGCAUUUGUGUUCGGUGUACCCAAUGCUUGUCAAAGAAAGAUAUUUGUAGACUUCCUAAGCAUUGCUUCUGUAUUACUUUUUAGCUUGAAAUACUAUUUUCUAUGGUGGAAGGUUGAUAGCUCUGCAUUACUGUUCUAAAUUGCGACUAUUUGGUGCUUAAGGGCGUCAAGAUUAUGAUAGCCUUGAUUUAUAUAUAUCUUCUUGGUUCA